GGGAGGGGAGGCUUGCGGCGGGCUCCGUGUGGCCGCUGCUCUCUGGGGAGGGGGGGAUGCUUUCGGAGGGGGCUCCGGGCUCUCUGCUCUCCCCGGCGAAGCUGCUCCCCGCGCCUCGGCUCCAUGGAACGAAUGGGAAAGGGAGAAACGCGUUCCGGGAAGCAUCGCCCCCGCCCCUCGCUGCCCCUCACCCCGAGCCCGCGGAGCCCUCCGGGGUCAGGGGCUCCUCCUUCCCCGAUCGGACACCGAAAAAGCCCCUUUCCCUUAGCAGCCUGUGCGACGGGAAUAACUCGGGAUGUGGAUUGGCAUCUCCUCGGGAUUGCUGAGCUCGGAUCUCUGCUAGCGGCUGCCGUUACCUUCAUUUUGCUUUCAAACAGAACCGAGAAACAUUCCUCUAAUUGUGUCCAAUUAAGCUCAGCAAAUCCUUCCCAACAGCCCAUCCCCGGCCGUGACCUUUGGGAACAGAGUGGGAAGAGGCCGGCAGCUCCCGAUCCAUUCCAGCGGCAUCUCUGGCAGCUCCAGCGAGCCUCUGCUGCCUGGAUCCCGACUCGUUUUUCCCUGCCGCCUGUUGAAAGCAGUGGGAGUUUUUCCCCUUGGCUCUCUCUCAGGAUAAUCAGCAUCCCGAGUGCUUCCCCACCAGGUGGGCCGGGGCUGCUUUAGCCACGAUUUAUUGCCACAAACCCAGGGAAAUAAAAGGUGCCCGACUAUAAACAUCCUCCGGGUUGCCUCCCUCUCCAUGCUCAUCCCAGUGGGGAAAGCCCAGCCCAGCCCUGCACUGACCUCGCUUUCAGCUCUCUCUUCUCCAAAAGGUUUUUCACUCUUUUUUGCCUUUUGGCGGGGGCAGGUGCAGCCUGGCAAAAGGGGUUUGUGAAGGAAAGAGCAGUAGGUGUGCAUGGGAAGUGGCUUUUUCCUUGAAUCUACUCCAAAUGAUCCACUCGUAUCUGAUUUAUUACAGGGAAGCAAUUUUUUGUAAUUAGCUGGCAAUGACUGAUGGCAAAGGGCAGUGGGAUGGCCAAGGCCAGCUGGACCUGGAAUCCAAAAGGUUCCCCAUGAAAACCAAAGUCAAAGCCAACCCAAACCUGAGGAGGAAAUUCCAAGGUAUCACCGGGUGGGACAUUGCCCUAGCCUUUGGAAAUUCUCUCCGUGUUCUCAGUGAUUUGGGAAAGCAGCUCCUUCCCUGCAGCCGAGCCCUGGGUAAUUCCUCAGGCAGCCACAGCAGCUUAAAAGCUGAUUGGACCUAAUUAAGUCAAAUAAGAAAUAAUAGAGCUGAUCCAGAAAUAUUGCUAAUUAACCAACAACUCACUUGAAAAUUACCCUUUGAGCUGGGUGAGUUCUCUCCUUUGGAGGAGAAUGGAUUUGGGAUUCUGUAGUUUGGGAUACUUGACAAAUUCAGUGAAUUAUUGUGGGGGAAUUCCACCAUUCCCUCCCCAAAACAUCCCCUGUGUGCCCCUGAAAGGGGACAGGAAGACAACUAUUUGGAAGUUGUUCCAAACAAAAAUUUGGCUUCUUUUGAAAUUUCAUUUUCACUUCAAACAUCGACCUAGGUGAAGACAAAAAGGAUUAAAGAAAAGCUUGAAAUCCUCUGGAAAGGAAAUCAUAAAACUUUGUUCUGUUGGGUUAUAUCAGUAUUAGUAGUGGUAUUAGUAUUAAUAUUAGUAUCAGGAUUGGUAUUUUCCUGGAAGGGAGCAAAGGGAGGGAGGAUCCCACUCCAAACUCCCCUCUCCAGACCCACAGGGUGACUGGAGCCCCCUGCCCCGGCCACGCUCCCCCCUGUGUCCACUGGAGCAUCCCAGGGAUUGAUCAGGGAUUGAUGGGAUUUAUUCCCUUCUCUCCUGAGUGGUCCUGCUGGGUGAGGGGGCAGCAGGUUUAUCCCUGCUGGAUAGAUUGGAGGAGCUCUGGGACAUCCUCUGCUCUGCUGAGCUUUUAGGGAUCAGAAGCAGGGGAGAAAUUACAGGGCUGGGGUCAAAUGGGGCAGGAUGGGCCUUGGAUUUUGGGAAACAACUCCUCCCUGGGAGGGUGGGGAGGCCCUGGAAUAGAAUUCCUGCCGAGGCUGUGGCUGCCCCUGGAGCCCUGGCAGUGUCCCAGGCCAGGCUGGCCAGGGCUUGGAGCAGCCUGGGCCAGUGGGAGGUGUCCCAGGGUUUGGAACUGGAUGGACUUUAAGGUCCCUCCCAACCCCAACCAUUCCAGGAUUCCCUGAUCAACCUUCCUAAGCUGGGCUGUGUGCUCCCAGAGCCCCUGGAAUGCAAAGGUGAGGAUGGAUUUUUAGCUCUCAGGAGAACAAGGGGCAGACACUGAAAGGCCUCUUGUCCCCAGGCAGGGAGCUCAGGUCCCCUUGGGUUGGGAAUGGGAUCCCUUUUCCAGCACAGGAACAUCUCCAGGGGCAGGAGCAGAGCCUGGCACCACUGGGCACAGCUGGGCACAGCUGGAUGUGCCCAUCCCACAGAGCCCUGCCUGGGCUGGGCCGGGCUUUGGGACCCAAGGAGUCCCUGGGGAUGGGUAUGACCCCACAGCCCCUCCCAGGACAUGUGUGACCCCACAGCCCAGGGUGUCGGGGCAAAAUGAGCCUUAAAUGUGUUCUGCAAGCCCCAAACCUUCCAGAAAAAUUCCCUGCUCUGGCCAAGCCCUGCAGAAACAAUUCCUGCUGGAGCCACCGUGGAACCAGAAAGGCACAAAACAUUGGAAAUUGGGGUUUCCAUGGAAGCCACCACUCGGCCCUAAUUCCAGCCCUGCUGCCUCAGAUCCCAGAGAAUGUCACAGCCCCACCCAGAGCGACCUGGGGCAGCGGAGCUGUGGGAGCCCCCAGAAACAUCCAAAGGGGGCUGUUCUUGUUUCCCUGGGCUUUGUUUCAUUUUUCAUGCAAAUAAAUGAAAUAAAUGCUUGGGCUUCCAGCUGGGAAAUUCUCCCAAGGAAUUGAGGGAAUUUUGAGGUCUGCAGAGGUUUGGGGCUGUUUGUUUGAAUUCGGGGAGGUGAAAUCUUCCAUCCAUACCAAAAUAUUGGGAGCACAUAAAUAAUGCCAGGAUUUCUGCGUCUGCUGCUUCACCCCUGCAGCACCAGAGGAGUAAAAACGUUUGGAUUUCACAACCCUGCUCCAAAACAUCAACAACAACAAAAUAAAAUAGAGAGACUUUGGAUGUCUCAUUUCCAGGGCCUUGUGUGUGUUUAAAGGAGAAAACCUGGGAGAGAUCAAACAAAUGCCCAAGUGAACCGAGGUGUGGCUGCUCCUGUGGGAAUUACACUGGGAAUCCCGCGUGGGGAAGGGAGAUGAGGUGGGAUUUUCCAGGCUUGCACAGAAGGAUCAGUUGGGAAGAUUUCAGGAGCAGAUCUUGGCUGGGCUGCAGAGACCCCGCCCAUGGGGGGGUCCCCAUCCCUGCACAUCCCAAAGGGUUUAAUCCCCCUUCCUCCCAGCUUUUGGAGGGGACUUGUGGCUGAUCCAGGAGCUGAAUUUGGGAAUCAGCUGUGGGAAGGAGGUCCUGUCCUGUGCCACACGUGACAGGGCUGUCACAUGGCCUUUAAUUAGCGGGGUCUGCUUUAAUUGGCAUUUUCUGGCAGAGCCAUUAUUCCUGGCCUUCCUUAAAGGAAUAAAAGGCUAAUCCAUAAAUAAAUGUGUUUAUAGAGAUAGAUAUUUAAA
rnacentral:lncRNA from 1 species